rnacentral:tRNA from 1 species
ACUUUCUUAGUAUAACUAAUAUAACUGACUUCCAAUCAGUAGACUCCGAAAAAUGCUCGGAAGAAAGUA